UACAGAGGGGCAAGCGUUGUUCGGAAUUACUGGGCGUAAAGGGCGCGUAGGCGGCCUUCUAAGUCGAACGUGAAAUCCCCGGGCUCAACCCGGGAACUGCGUCCGAUACUGGAAGGCUUGAAUCCGGGAGAGGGAUGCGGAAUUCCAGGUGUAGCGGUGAAAUGCGUAGAUAUCAGGAGGAACACCGGUGGCGAAGGCGGGAUCGCUGGGCAGUAACUGACGCUGAGGCACGAAGGCCAGGGAGCAAACGGGAUUAGAGUA
rnacentral:rRNA from 1 species